rnacentral:rRNA from 1 species
GACGAACGCUGACGGCGUGCCUAAUACAUGCAAGUCGAGCGCAGGAAACUGACGGAACUCUUCGGAGGGAAGGCAGUGGAAUGAGCGGCGGACGGGUGAGUAACACGUAAGGAACCUGCCUCAAGGGUUGGGAUAACUCCGAGAAAUCGGAGCUAAUACCGGAUAGUUCAUCGGACCGCAUGGUCCGUUGAUGAAAGGCGCUUCGGCGUCACCUUGAGAUGGCCUUGCGGUGCAUUAGCUAGUUGGUGGGGUAACGGCCCACCAAGGCGACGAUGCAUAGCCGACCUGAGAGGGUGAUCGGCCACACUGGGACUGAGGCACGGCCCAGACUCCUACGGGAGGCAGCAGUAGGGAAUCUUCCACAAUGGACGAAAGUCUGAUGGAGCAACGCCGCGUGAGUGAUGAAGGUUUUCGGAUCGUAAAACUCUGUUGUAAGGGAAGAACACGUACGAGAGGAAAUGCUCGUACCUUGACGGUACCUUACGAGAAAGCCACGGCUAACUACGUGCCAGCAGCCGCCGUAACAC